rnacentral:rRNA from 1 species
ACUGACACUCAAGGACGAAAGCUAGGGGAGCAAAUGGGAUUAGAGACCCCAGUAGUCUUAGCAGUAGACGAUGAGUACUAGAUGUUGGACGCACGGUAAUAUAUAAUCUAUUUAUCUACUCGUUCGGUAUCUAAGCUAACGCAAUAAGUACUCCGCCUGAGGAGUACGCUCGCAAGGGUGAAACUCAAAGGAAUUGACGGGGGCUCGUACAAGCGGCGGAGCAUGUGGUUUAAUUUGAUGCAAAGCAAAAAAUCUUACCAGAGCUUGAAGUUGAAAUUUUCAAAUUUAAUCGAUUUGAAAAGCCAUAAAUUGGCAAAAACGAGGUGGUGCAUGGCUGUCGUCAGCUCGUGUCGUGAGACGUUGGGUUAAUUCCCUUAACGAGCGCAACCCUUGUCAUAAGUUCUUUUGUCUUAUGAGAAGGCUCGAUUCGUCGAGAUUAAGAGGAGGAUGACGUCAAGUCAUCAUGCCCUUUAUGCUCUGGGCUACACACGUGCUACAAUGGUCGUUACAAUAAGUACUGAAGAAAAAAACGUAUAACGAUUAUACGUUUAAUUUUAACGUAAGUAUGAAAAUAUUUACAAAUCUUUAAAAGCGUAGCCCUAAUAUGAAUCGUGGACUGAAACUCGUCCACGUCAAACCGGAGUCGCUAGUAAUCGCCGGUCACCAUUACGGCGGUGAAUACGUAACCGAGCCUUGUACACACCGCCCGUCA